ACGCCGAAAUGGCUUACCGCAACCUGUCAUCAUAUACAAUAUAAAACAACAAUUUGCCUCGUGAAGUAUAUCCCCUCUUCUCAGUACUUUGUACCUUUACGUCUACUGUUUUAUUUCCAUACCACAAUAUAGUCGUUUGUGCAAGUUAUACAAACAUGUUGCUUAAAUAGAGAGGUGUGCAGCUAUAUAGAAAUUGAUUGCAAACGAUUGCAUUGUAGAUAAUUUUUUAAUAAUCAAAAUUAAUGUUCACCGUUUCAUCACAGACCAGUAUCAUAUCACCAGCCACUCAAAUUUUGGAUUUAAGAGCUCUGGAAAUUUAACGCUUUGUCGACAACGAUGUAACACACUGUAGUCUUGAAUUAAAGAAGAUAGCCGA